rnacentral:rRNA from 1 species
GAUGAACGCUGGCGGCGUGCCUAAUACAUGCAAGUCGAGCGAAUGAAGAGGAGCUUGCUCCUCUGAUUUAGCGGCGGACGGGUGAGUAACACGUGGGUAAUCUGCCUGUAAGACGGGGAUAACUCCGGGAAACCGGGGCUAAUACCGGAUAAUAAAAAGAAACGCAUGUUUCUUUUUUGAAAGUUGGUUUCGGCUAACACUUACAGAUGAGCCCGCGGCGCAUUAGCUAGUUGGUGAGGUAACGGCUCAACAAGGCGACGAUGGGUAGCCGACCUGAGAGGGUGAUCGGCCACACUGGGACUGAGACACGGCACAGACUCCUACGGGAGGCAGCAGUAGGGAAUCUUCGGCAAUGGGCGAAAGCCUGACCGAGCAACGCCGCGUGAGCGAUGAAGGCCUUCGGGUCGUAAAGCUCUGUUGUUAGGGAAGAACACGUACGAGAGUAACUGCUCGUACCUUGACGGUACCUAACCAGAAAGCCACGGCUAACUACGUGCCAGCCGCCGCAGUAA